UACGGCGACUGCGAAUGGCUCAUUAUAUAAGUUAUCGUUUAUUUGAUAGCACUUUACUACUUGGAUAACCGUGGUAAUUCUAGAGCUAAUACAUGCUAAAAAUCCCGACUUCGGAAGGGAUGUAUUUAUUAGAUUAAAAGCCAAUGCCCUCUGGGCUCUCUGGUGAAUCAUGAUAACUGCUCGAAUCGCAGGGCCUCGUGCCGGCGAUGGUUCAUUCAAAUUUCUUCCCUAUCAACUUUCGAUGUUUGGGUAUUGGCCAAACAUGGUUACAACGGGUAACGGAGGGUUAGGGCUCGACCCCGGAGAAGGAGCCUGAGAAACGGCUACUACAUCCAAGGAAGGCAGCAGGCGCGCAAAUUACCCAAUCCCGACACGGGGAGGUAGUGACAAUAAAUACUGAUACAGGGCUCUUUCGGGUCUUGUAAUUGGAAUGAGUACAAUUUAAAUCCCUUAACAAGGAACAAUUGGAGGGCAAGUCUGGUGCCAGCAGCCGCGGUAAUUCCAGCUCCAAUAGCGUAUAUUAAAGUUGUUGUGGUUAAAAAGCUCGUAGUUGACCCUUGGGCCUGGCUGGCCGGUCCGCCUCACCGCGUGUACUGGUCCGGCCGGGCCUUUCCCUCUGUGGAACCCCAUGCCCUUCACUGGGCGUGGCGGGGAAACAGGACUUUUACUUUGAAAAAAUUAGAGUGCUCCAGGCAGGCCUAUGCUCGAAUACAUUAGCAUGGAAUAAUAGAAUAGGACGUGCGGUUCUAUUUUGUUGGUUUCUAGGACCGCCGUAAUGAUUAAUAGGGACAGUCGGGGGGCAUCAGUAUUCAAUUGUCAGAGGUGAAAUUCUUGGAUCUAUCUGAAGACUAACUACUGCGAAAGCAUUUGCCAAGGAUGUUUUCAUUAAUCAAGAACGAAAGUUAGGGGAUCGAAGACGAUCAGAUACCGUCGUAGUCCUGACCGUAAACUAUGCCGACUAGGGAUCGGACGAUGUUAUUUUUUGACUCGUUCGGCACCUUACGAGAAAUCAAAGUGCUUGGGCUCCAGGGGAGUAUGGUCGCAAGGCUGAAACUUAAAGAAAUGACGAGGCACCACCAAUGGUCGA
rnacentral:rRNA from 1 species